AACGAACGCUGGCGGCGCGCCUAACACAUGCAAGUCGAACGAGAAGGCGUAGCAAUACGCUUGUAGAGUGGCGAACGGGUGAGUAAUACGUGGGUGACCUACCCUCGAGUGGGGAAUAACCCGGGGAACCUGGCUAAUACCGCAUACGCGUCCUUUUGGCUCACGCCAGGGGAGGAAAGGACGCAAGCCGUUCGAGGAGGGGCCCGCGCCGAUUAG
rnacentral:rRNA from 1 species